UUGCCAAUAACUUCCAGAAUCUGGUCUGAAGUUGACGUAUCGCCAAUGUGUGCCCUCAAUAGGUCAUCAACUCGCACCACAUCAUGCUUGUUACCUGGUUUCUGUGCACCCGUCCGACAGCCAUCCUCGUCUUCAAGCGCGGCGCAUAAGCUACAAACAUGAUUUGAUCCCUCAGCGAGUGGACCAUUUUGCUCAUCAAGACAGAUUUUAGCAGGUUUUCUUUAUUCACAUUCUGGUGUCCAGCAGUCCUGAAGCUCCAGCGUUUGUCUGGCAUUCAUUUUCACUGUGACCCUUUUAUAUCAUUUGUACUUCCAUUGCAUUCAUCUCCUGUAUAUAACCAU